UUUCAUACGCUCUUUUGCUUCUCUUUUCUAUUCCCGACCCUAACCUUUUUUCCUAAACUCAAUUCACCAGAAGAAAAAGAAAAGAAAAGAAAAGAAAAGAAAAUUACAGAAUCGAAGAUCAUAUGAUGAUACCAAGCUUGGAAAGGGAAACCCUAAAGGUAAAUACUAGUCCAGUUAACAAAGACGAAGAAACAGAGAUGACAAUGGAUUGUAAAACCCCAACCGGGCUGAGACAUAAAAUACCAGAGACGACAUGGGAUUGCAAGACCCCGACUGGGGAGGAACACAAAAUACCUAUCCUGAACACUUGCCCUCCAGCUCCAGGUCCAAGGUGGCUUCUGGAUUCUCUCUCGGAGAAAAAGAAGGCGUCGAAGAUGAACUCUGAUGCCGAGCCAAAGGUAAUAAUGUUACAACCUUUUAAGGCAUCCAAUUCCUAAGAGAAAUAGCGGGUCUCCGAUGCGCGCUGAGGGUUAUGUUAGAACUUUGAAUAGUCCAGUUAGAGAAAUUAGAAUAUUGCAACAUUCUUUUCAGAAAGAUAGAUACAGGGUAUGAUUUUUCUCGGGUUGCAAGUAGAAGGUCAUGGAACUUAUGCUGAUUAAAAGGACAAGAUUGAUAGGUUUUGGAAUUUCACAACGAGGUAGUAAUUAUGCUUUGAGACAUAGUCAACAGCGUAAUUAGAAAACUGGAUUAUAAUCUUAAUUUGGAUCUUUUCAUUUAUUUUUUUAACGUAAUGUUGUUGUUUUAAUCAGCAUCUUUAUUGAAUUAUUUUUAUAACCACAAGAAAUUAAGAAGAUUGGUAGAAGUUCUGGGCAUACAAAACCUUGCCUGCUAUGCUGUGUACAUGCGUGUGUAAACGUAGAAUCCAAUUAUCACUGGUAUUUCUUUUGAUUAUUAUAAUCUUCUGGGAAAGUUUGUUUUAAUUUCAUGAAAAACUUUUGGGGAAGCUGUUACGUGGCAUUUUCCAUUUUCUUUCCGAGAAUCACCACCAUCUAGCCGUCUUCCCUUCGAGUCAUGCCUAGUUUGGCUUGUAUUAGAUGUCUGGAAAUUAUUUGUUAAUUUUCUCAUCUUCUCGGAGGAGCACUGACAAGUGACAACCCAGUUUCUUAAAUUGCUGGUUUGGCCCCUGACAAAAUAACCGUUGAUGUUUUAUACUUUAUGAUACUUGCAAACAUUAGAAGUUUGCUGAGGAGGCAUGAAGAUGCAGCUGGUAAUCUUUUGCCUGUGGAUUUUGUCUCCUUGCGGUUAUAUUUAAUGAUCAGAAAAUGAUUACUAAGUCCAACAUCGUUUCAUUUGUGCGUACUAUGAAGUUCAAUUGAAUCGAGGCGUGCGGAGUAUGACAAGUCGAGGUACUGUUUUAUUUUCACGAGAAUCAAGAGAUCUAGUGUUAUAAAGUUAGAUUGCAUUUGCCUUGUGUUUUAAAAUUGUGUUUAAUAUAAAAAAUAUUAAAUUAAUAUUUUUUAAAAAUAUUUUGAUAUAUUAAUGUAAAAAAAUAAAUCUGAAAAAAUAUUUUAAUAAGUUUUCAUGUAAAAAAUACUUUUAAAAAAUAUUAUACAAUUAUAAAUAAAUUACAAAUGAUUAGAAAGGCAAACUUGUUAACUUUAAGGUUUUAUUUUAAAUGGAGAUUGAUCAGUUUUAAAUCCAAUGAUUUUUUAUUUUUAUGUUUAUCUAAAAUGAUAUUUUUUUAUUUAAAAAAAACUAAAAUAGCUUUGUUUUAUUUUAAAUUGUCCUGAUAAACCCACAACCAAACCGAGUCUAAUAACAGAUUGAGUCUAAUAAUUAUGAGCAAAAGUGUUGCAGCGAAGACCUAUAGAAUGCAGAAAUCAUCACCAGGUAUGAAUAACAAACAGGGGCAGACAAGAUACAGGGUUGUUUGCAGAUUACAUCCAUGCUAUCAGAUGACUAGCAUGCUCGACUUCUUGUUUGUCGGGGGUUCUGCACAGUGAUUUGAACCUCUUCUUGUGCGGGUGAAUUUAAAUUGUUGAAGAGCUGCUUCAGCUUUGCUCUUGAAUUUAGAAUACCUCUGCAUUUCCAAGGAGCAGCGGCUAGAGUUUUUAGCCACUUGAUUGUGUUUCAUGAAUCUGAUUAGCUAGUUGUGUUUUUAUUGGUGGAGCUUAUUUCUAAAGCUUCAGUAAUCCUGUGUAGCUCCACCUCCUUUGAGUUAAUUUUUCCAGUGGGGCUUGGAAAAAUACAGAUGAAUUUUCCAGCACCGUUGUGAAUAACUCUCGUGAAGUCCGCAGCAUAAGGCUUUCCGAUA